rnacentral:rRNA from 1 species
AGGCAUUCUGCCAUCCUUUUUUAACAGGAAUAAGAUAGUAAGAAAAACAGUAAUAUUAAAAUUUUAAUAAAAAAUUUUAAUCUUUUUACCUUUUGCAUAAUGGUUUAACUUAAAGGCAAUUAUUUUAUUUCUCCCGAAAUAAAAGGAUCUAGUCAAAGAAUUUUUUAUAUGUUUUAAAAUAUAAAUUUUAUUUUUUACUAGGUGUGAAAGGCUUAUCAACUUUUCUUAUAUCUGGAUUAGGUUAAAAUGUAUUUAGUACAGGCUUUAUGCUGAAUAACUCACUGUUAAGGGUGGUUUAAGAAAGAAUUAUUAUGUUUAUUUUAUUUGUUUUAGAUAAUUCUAAAAUAACUUUAUAAAAAUUUAAUGUGUAUUUUUAACUACCUUUCACUUAAACCUAGAAAUUAAAUAAUUAAUUAAGAUUUUCAUAAUGUUAAAAUAAGUAUUAAAUUUUAUUUUAAUCUAAGGAACUCGGCAAAAAUUUUACUCAACUGUUUAUCAAAAACAUAGUUUUAUGAAAUUUUAUAAAAUGAAUUCUGCCCAAUGAAAAUUUAAUGGCCGCAGUACUUUAACUGUGCUAAGGUAGCAUAAUAAUUUGGCUUUUAAUUAAAGUCUGGUAUGAAAGGGAUUUUGGGUAGCAACUGUCUUAAUUUAACUUUUGAAAAUUUACUAAAAAGGUGAAAAUUCCUUUAGGUUUUUAAUAGACGAGAAGACCCUAGGAGUUUCUGUUUUGUUGGGGCGACAUUUUAGUAAAAUUAAUCCUAAUAUUUUUAUAGAACGACUAUAUUAAUACUAAUUAAACUACCCUAGGGAUAACAGCAUAAUUUGUUAAAGUUUGUGACCUCGAUGUU